AUGAAAAAACGGGGGUGCCGAAAGGCUGAGAGGCGGGAAACCGCCAACCCUUUGAACCUGAUCUGGGUAAUGCCAGCGAAGGGAUGUGAUAUAGUGUCAGAU
rnacentral:ncRNA from 2 species